rnacentral:rRNA from 1 species
AUUGAACGCUGGCGGCAUGCUUUACACAUGCAAGUCGAACGGUAACAGGCCUUCGGGUGCUGACGAGUGGCGAACGGGUGAGUAAUGCAUCGGAACGUACCCAGAGGUGGGGGAUAACUCAGCGAAAGCUGUGCUAAUACCGCAUGUGAUCUGAGGAUGAAAGCGGGGGACCGAGCAGCAAUGUUUGGCCUCGCGCCUUUGGAGCGGCCGAUGUCGGAUUAGCUAGUUGGUGGGGUAAAGGCCUACCAAGGCGACGAUCCGUAGCUGGUCUGAGAGGACGACCAGCCACACUGGGACUGAGACACGGCCCAGACUCCUAUGGGAGGCAGCAGUGGGGAAUUUUGGACAAUGGGCGCAAGCCUGAUCCAGCAAUGCCGCGUGCGGGAAGAAGGCCUUCGGGUUGUAAACCGCUUUUGGCAGGAACGAAACGGUGUCCGCUAAUACCGGGCGCUAAUGACGGUACCUGCAGAAUAAGCACCGGCUAACUACGUG